rnacentral:rRNA from 1 species
GACGUAGGGCGCGAGCGUUGUCCGGAUUUAUUGGGCGUAAAGAGCUCGUAGGCGGCUUGUCGCGUCGAAUGUGAAAACUCGGGGCUCAACCCCAAGCUUGCGGGCGAUACGGGCAGACUUGAGUACUGCAGGGGAGACUGGAAUUCCUGGUGUAGCGGUGAAAUGCGCAGAUAUCAGGAGGAACACCGGUGGCGAAGGCGGGUCUCUGGGCAGUAACUGACGCUGAGGAGCGAAAGCGUGGGUAGCAAACAGG